GACGAACGCUGGCGGCGUGCUUAACACAUGCAAGUCGAACGAUGAACCGGUUUCGGCCGGGGAUUAGUGGCGAACGGGUGAGUAACACGUGGGCAAUCUGCCCUUCACUCUGGGAUAAGCCCGGGAAACUGGGUCUAAUACCGGAUACGACACUCCGAGGCAUCUUGGGGUGUGGAAAGUUCCGGCGGUGCAGGAUGAGCGCGCGGCCUAUCAGCUUGUUGGUGGGGUAAUGGCCUACCAAGGCGACGACGGGUAGCCGGCCUGAGAGGGUGACCGGCCACACUGGGACUGAGACACGGCCCAGACUCCUACGGGAGGCAGCAGUGGGGAAUAUUGCACAAUGGGCGAAAGCCUGAUGCAGCGACGCCGCGUGAGGGAUGACGGCCUUCGGGUUGUAAACCUCUUUCAGCAGGGAAGAAGCGAAAGUGACGGUACCUGCAGAAGAAGCACCGGCUAACUACGUG
rnacentral:rRNA from 1 species